rnacentral:tRNA from 1 species
GUGGCUGUAGUUCAAUAGGUAGAGCCCCGGCUUGUGGUGCCGGUUGUUGCGGGUUCAAGUCCCGUCAGCCACCCCA